UAGAACGCUGGCGGCAUGCCUAACACAUGCAAGUCGAACGGUAACAGGUCUUCGGAUGCUGACGAGUGGCGGACGGGUGAGUAAUGCGUAGGAAUCUGUCUUUUAGUGGGGGGACAACCCAGGGAAACUUGGGCUAAUACCGCAUGAGCCCUGAGGGGGAAAGCGGGGGAUCUUCGGACCUCGCGCUAAGAAGAAGGAGCCUACGUCCGAUUAGCUAGUUGGCGGGGUAAAGGCCCACCAAGGCGACGAUCGGUAGCUGGUCUGAGAGGACGACCAGCCACACUGGGACUGAGACACGGCCCAGACUCCUACGGGAGGCAGCAGUGGGGAAUUUUUCGCAAUGGGGGCAACCCUGACGAAGCAAUGCCGCGUGGAUGAAGAAGGCCUUCGGGUUGUAAAAGUCCUUUCGUGGAGGACGAAAAGGUGGGUUCUAAUACAAUCUGCUAUUGACGUGAAUCCAAGAAGAAACACCGGUUACUCCGUGCCAGCAGCCGCGGUAAUACGGGGGGUGCAAGCGUUAAUUCGGAAU
rnacentral:rRNA from 1 species